rnacentral:rRNA from 1 species
CCUACGGGAGGCAGCAGUGGGGAAUAUUGCACAAUGGGGGAAACCCUGAUGCAGCGACGCCGCGUGAGUGAAGAAGUAAUUCGUUAUGUAAAGCUCUAUCAGCAGGGAAGAAAAUGACGGUACCGGAGUAAGAAGCCCCGGCGAACUACGUGCCAGCAGCCGCGGUAAGACGUAGGGGGCAAGCGUUAUCCGGAUUUACUGGGUGUAAAGGGAGCGUAGACGGCUGUGCAAGUCUGGAGUGAAAGGCGGGGGCUCAACCCCCGGACGGCUCUGGAAACUGUACGGCUGGAGUGCAGGAGAGGUAAGUGGAAUUCCUCGUGUAGCGGUGACAUGCGUCGAUAUUAGGAGGAACACCAGUGGCGACGGCGGCUUACUGGACUGUCACUGACGUUGAGGCUCGAACGCGUGGGGAGCAAACAGGAUUAGAUACCCUUGUAGUC